AUGAAGAUGGCCGCUGACAUGCCACAUGCAGAACUUGCUAGCAGGACAGACAGACAGGACAGACUGGUGGCCAGAACUUUGGAAUGGCAUAAUUAAACAUUGUGCCACCCUGCCUCCCUCCCCUGCUCCAUUCACGUUCCCUUCCCAAAGCCCCAGAGUCUGUAACAGCCAACAGGUCCAGUGUUGUCUUGCUGAACAGCAAUGAGAGCUGCGGACCCUCAGGAUGAGCACCAUGGGCGGCCGUCACCUCUGCAGCCACCCAGAGUGACACCUGAUAAGUCUUAAGGGUGCAGUCAAAAUGGCCCAUUGCCUUUCCCCCUCCUGGGAAGCCAGGGCACAGGCACCGACCCUAGUGAAGCAGAGUCAGGGAUGAGAGGAGGAGGCUGUUUUUCAGGCAGUGACAACGAUGGCAGCAGGCAGUGAUGACGUCCAGAGUCUGGUGUGCACAGGUUCUAGGGUAUGGUUUUGGUUGGGGCUGACCUCAGGGCUCCCUUUAGUCCCGCAGUUUUUCAGUCUUCCCAGUGGCCCUGUGAGCUACCCAGUACUCUUUCAGUCCAUUUUUUCUACUUGUAACACCCAGAGCUUGGUGUCCAUUGCUUAUAUCUACGAGCCCCAGCUGACUCACCAACGCCUCAGAGGAGGGAAGAGUUCCAGGCAAAGCAAACUACCCAGUUAAAAAAAAAUCCUCACAGUUUCAGAGACGAUAACGUCAGGAGCUUCAAAGCCUCGUUUGUUAUUGUGGUGAAUGGGCAUCAGAGCUCUCUAUACUUUUAAGAAGUGGCACACGCCUUUUGGCACAGCAUUUCCCGGUCUAUGACUUUAUCUCCAGAGACACUCCCACAAGGACUAUGCUAGCUGUUGGGCAUGACUGCAAGUGUUUUUAUAAUAGACAAAGUUGGGUUUGACAGCAUGGAGCUUAUCGAUGCCCUUGACACAGAGGUCACUGACACCCUUGACAAAAGGAGUUUCGGGGGAGUGGAGAAGCCAGAAGCCAGACUGGAGGAGACUGAAGAGUAGGUGAAGAAGCAGAAGGAAGGAUGGGUGAAGCCAAGAUGUUAGUGUGCAGACCGCUUGUGGGAGAAGUUUUGCUAUGAAACAGGAUGGGGAAAGGGAGGGAACACUGAGAGUCUGUCGAGCCACAGAAAGACUUCUUCUAAUGAGAGAUUCCAG
rnacentral:lncRNA from 10 species